AGUGAUAGAGGCGCGGGCUUCAUCAGUAGGCGGACAGUGACACGGGAAAGUCGCCGCUGAAAGGGGAUCCCGCCGAAACAAAGGUCUUUUCCCGAGAGGCUUUUGUUGGGAUAGCGCGGAAUACGCGCUAUACUGUCGUUACCGGGACUGCGUCCCGAACGGAGUGCUAUUC
rnacentral:ncRNA from 1 species